ACCCUUUUAUGGUUCAUAAGCAUAUUGAUUACAUUUUCAUGCUAUUGUGUGAGAUGAACUUCCCUCAAACCUUGUUAUGAUGUCAGCACAUUAUCCAUCUGAUG
ensembl:snoRNA